UCGCCCGGCUAAUUUUUUGUAUUUUUAGUAGAGACGGGGUUUCACCGUGUUAGCCAGGAUGGUCUUGAUCUCCUGACCUCGUGAUCCGCGCGCCUCGGUCUCCCAAAAUGCUGGGAUUACAGGCGUGUGCCACCGCGCCUGGCCUCAUCUCUUAAUUCGAGUAAUUUUACAUAAGCAACAAUGGGGUAAGGAGGAGAAAAGAAAGAAGGAAAAAUUGGAAAGAUAAAUGGGGUCUUUCCAGUGAAGGAACUUGGCAAAUGUAUUUGAUGUACUACUUGAUUUAACAUCUAUGCUUCCAAAUGUUUAUUAUAAAGAAAUUACCAAGGCUCAAUUUUCCUACAUAAUUAAGAGUUUGGAAUUCGGGCAAUAUCAAGAACCACAUCUGUCCUGAAAUCAAUUAUCUCUGUUUGAAACACAAGAAAUAAGAAGACCAUUUUGAGAAGAACAGAGAGUAGCCUUAAGAAAAUCCCUGUCGCAAGCACUCUGGGAUUUGGACUCAAAUGCUAAUUAUACAACGUUGGUGGACCAGCCUUAAAACCAACAAUGAUUUGUAACAUUGAUUCUUUGGGAAAGGGCAUUCGGGAUCCCACAUCACCAUCUAACAAAUGAAUUUUUGUAAGAAAACCCAUUGAGACAAGAUCAUGUUCUGUUGCUCAGGCUGGAGUGCAGUAACACAAUCAUAGCUCACUAUAACCUCAAACUACUGGGAUCAGGAGAUCCCCCAACCUCAGCCUCCCGAGUAGCUUGGACUACAGGAACCACUUGGGUGCCCAGCUGCUGUCCAUUCUCUACACUUAUCCCACCUGAUGGAAGGCUGUUAAGAAAAACAUCACUGCAAUGCCUAAUAAACAGACAUGGGUCCCAGACCCAAUAAGAGUGAAACCAUCCCCCUAUUUAAAUGAAAUUAUGGCUGAUGAGAAAGACAAAUUAAUUUCUCUGUCCCUAGUAUUACACAAAACUUUGGAUGCUGCCAUUGUUACAAUUUUAUUUUCCCCAGGAGCUCAGAGUCCCACCUUCAUUCUUUUUGUUUAAUGCUUAAGCUUGCCUGUCCACCUA
rnacentral:lncRNA from 10 species